rnacentral:lncRNA from 1 species
CCGGGCAACACAAAUAUACUGCCCCCAAAAAUGCACUGUUCCUUCACUUAUUCUCGUACUCUAAGUUGACAGCCCAUCCCAUGUUCAAGGAAUUAGUUUUCAGAUUUAAGAACAGUUUUACUUUUUUUUUCGGAAGNNNNNNNNNNUCACUUUUUUUUUCUGAAAUGAGAUCCUCGUUUGUACCAUUACUGUGUGACAUGUAGGGUUUACACUAAAUAAAGUUGCACCGCUUUGGCCUAUUCAUGCAAAUAGUAAUGCCCAUAGAUGACAGGGAGAGGAGGAGGAGGAGGAACAAUGUGUCUAAAUCCAUUACCCCCAUCCGAGCCACAACCAUGGUGGUCUUGUCUAACAAUGUAUUGAACUUGUGCUCCACUUUCAAACGUUGAAACUUUCAAACGUUGAAAAUGCUCUACAGUUUGGCUGCAGAUAGUUUUUAUACUGUUCUGAAGAAACUUGCCAACUGCCCCACCUUCUUCCCAAACCCUCAGACUAACAAAUUAUCUACGUACCUAAGAGUUUAAUAUAUAAGGUAGCCAGGUUUACAAGGUUUGUCACCAAAACCUCUAGCAGCACUUAUAUGGUGGGACACUGUGUCUAAAUAGCGUUUCCUUGACGUUUAUUGUAAUUUAACAACAUUACAGAGAAUUAGUUGCCACCCAGUGAGCAAUGACAACCAUUUUUCAAUUAGUAGGUAGAAGUAUUACGCAUAAUCCUCAACAAAAGUUCUCACUGCAACAUCUAGUUACCACGUCUAACAUAAAUACUGUUAGUUUUAUGCAGAAUUCAGCGUAGUACGAUUUUCACAGAUCUGGGCUACGUUAAGUAAGGGCAGGCUUCUGCGAGCU